UGAGCUGCAGUGCUGUGUCUGGAGAUGAACAUCUGGGUACCUGCAGUCCAUCAGAGCCUGACAUCAUCCACAGCCUCUUGUGCCGCUAGGAAAGGAGAGAGGAGCAUUCCUCUACAGCCUCACACAGGUACUGACAGCAGAAGUGGAACCAAUUCAGAUCACAUGGUGCUGUGCAGAGAAUCUGUGACCAUGUUUAGACAUCAGCCAGCCCAGUAGAAAUACCAAAUGGGAAUUCAUCACAAGACUUAUCUUGUGCCCCAGGCAUCAGGAAAGAGGAGGGCAGAGCAGAUUCAUGUGGUCAUUCAUCUGAGGGGUUUCUCCUGCUGAGGGGCUCUACCUGCACGUAUGACCAACAUCACCUGUUUGAAGGUCUGUUUCUACCAAGAUACCCAAAGAUGAGAGCAGCAAAUUUCCUUGCUGAGCACCAGUAAUUGUAAG